rnacentral:rRNA from 1 species
UACGUAGGGGGCAAGCGUUGUCCGGAAUCAUUGGGCGUAAAGAGCGUGUAGGCGGUCCGGUAAGUCGGCUGUGAAAGUCCAGGGCUCAACCCUGGGAUGCCGGUCGAUACUGCCGGACUAGAGUUCGGAAGAGGCGAGUGGAAUUCCCGGUGUAGCGGUGAAAUGCGCAGAUAUCGGGAGGAACACCUAUGGCGAAGGCAGCUCGCUGGGACGUUACUGACGCUGGAGGCGCGAAAGCGUGGGGAGCAAACAGG